rnacentral:SRP_RNA from 2 species
GUCGAGCUAAGUAACGAGAGCUUGUGACCCGAGUGGGGACAAUAAGAUGGUGGAACACUGGUUUGGUCCACGGGUCGGGUCUGCUGUGGCAAGUUUCUGAGCUGCCCUGUCCAAGCGGAGAGUUAUCUGUCUGGUUUGAGCGAAGGCUCGAAUUAGGUGGGUGCUAAAGUCGGAGGGCAAUGCGUCAGGCUGGUUUCACAGAGCAGCGACUACUUCCCGCUCUCUGCAGUGGACGGAUAACGGCUCGGCGCCACUCAGACCUGCUAUGGCCUGCUGGUUCGUUCUCAGCUGAACCACCAAUUUU